rnacentral:rRNA from 1 species
UACGUAGGGUGCGAGCGUUAAUCGGAAUUACUGGGCGUAAAGCGUGCGCAGGCGGUUCGUUGUGUCGGCGGUGAAAGCCCCGGGCUUAACCUGGGAAUGGCCGUUGAAACUGGCGAACUGGAGUGUGGCAGAGGGGGGUGGAAUUCCGCGUGUAGCAGUGAAAUGCGUAGAGAUCCGGAGGAACCCCAGAGGCGAAGGCGGCGCCCUGGCCCGACACUGACGCUCAGACACGACAGCAUGGGGAGCGAACGGG